rnacentral:rRNA from 1 species
GACGAACGCUGGCGGCGUGCUUAACACAUGCAAGUCGAACGGAAAGGCCCUGCUUUUGUGGGGUGCUCGAGUGGCGAACGGGUGAGUAACACGUGAGUAACCUGCCCGUGACUUUGGGAUAACUUCAGGAAACUGGGGCUAAUACCGGAUAGGAGCUCCUGCUGCAUGGCGUGGGUUGGAAAGGUUCGGCGGUUGGGGAUGGACUCGCGGCUGAUCAGCAUGAUGGUGGGGUAGUGGCAUACCAAGGCUUUGACGGGUAGCCGGCCUGAGAGGGUGACCGGCCACAUUGGGACUGAGAUACGGCCCAGACUGCUACGGGAGGCAGCAGUGGGGAAUAUUGCACAAUGGGCGGAAGCCUGAUGCAGCAACGCCGCGUGCGGGAUGACGGCCUUCGGGUUGUAAACCGCUUUCGCCUGGGACGAAGAGUGAGUGACGGUAAUGGGUAAAGAAGCACCGGCUAACUACGUG